rnacentral:rRNA from 1 species
GCACGGGGGCAACCCUGGUGGCGAGUGGCGAACGGGUGAGUAAUGCAUCGGAACGUGCCCAGUAGUGGGGGAUAACUAGUCGAAAGAUUAGCUAAUACCGCAUACGACCUAUGGGUGAAAGCGGGGGAUUCGCAAGAACCUCGCGCUAUCGGAGCGGCCGAUGUCUGAUUAGCUAGUUGGCGGGGUAAAAGCCCACCAAGGCGACGAUCAGUAGCUGGUCUGAGAGGACGACCAGCCACACUGGGACUGAGACACGGCCCAGACUCCUACGGGAGGCAGCAGUGGGGAAUUUUGGACAAUGGGCGCAAGCCUGAUCCAGCCAUGCCGCGUGCGGGAAGAAGGCCUUCGGG